UGGUGGAGUGAUUUGUCUGGUUAAUUCCGUUAACGAACGAGACCUCGACCUGCUAAAUAGUUUGGCGAAUUCCAACGUGGAUUCGUACAUAACUUCUUAGAGGGACUAUCGGUUGCAAGCCGGUGGAAGUUCGAGGCAAUAACA
rnacentral:rRNA from 1 species